UUGCACUCCGACGAAAAGAAUGGCAUGGCUUACAUUUUCUCAAACCACACAACAGCAAAACAUAACCUCAGGCCGUGCGGUCCAUCUGCUGCGAACGCUCUGCAUAGCUUAAGCUGCGGUCACACUGGGCUUUUUCUCCCAUAGACUUCCAUUCAUACGCAAGCGAAUGCGUCAGACAGGAAACGCAAGGUCAAGCGUCAAGUUUCGCAUGUGGCUGCGGUGCAAAGUUCAAGCUUGGUUAAUUCUGACCUGCAAAAUCGCAUCACUUGACUGCGUGAGACAGAAUUUCGCACACACAAAGCCCAGUGUGACCAUAGCUUCACAUGUGGGUCGUUAAUAAUGGCGUUUACUCUGAUCACGCACCAGACGCGGUGAUGACGUAUUUGCGAUCAUACGGUCGGAUCGUCAUUCAAAGUUUGUGUUACAACACUAAACCCAUAAAAUAAGUAUUGGAAGCACACAGACAUAGGACAUAAACGCUUCCCGUUACGCACACAAAAUAAGCCACUGUUUCGAGCUGUUAGCCAGACUGUAUAGAACUGCAAUGUCCGACUACGGGAACGGAAAUGAUAUGCGGCUUCUGGGCGGCCCGAGCCAGCUGUCAAUAAAACCAACUUCAAAUCACAACACCAAAUAUAUCCAAUAUAUCUGGCCUUUUCAAGAGCCGCCCCUAUUUACUUAGAAAAUUAACUACAAAAAAUGCCUAAGAGUUAUCAUCAUUUGGUAACCGUGGCAAACAGAUCAAUUUACUCACAUGUCUUACAUAUUUGCGAUCACCCACUUGUACUUAAGCAGUUCUUAUAAGUCUAUCUGCUCCAGGGAUUGUGUCAGUGAUCUUACCCACUGGCAGAGAGCUCUGGAAAGUUGUGAAUCGAUUAUCAUCACUACUGUCCCUUUCUCCAGAUUCUUGGCCUUGUCAGUCAUCCAUUUUGCUCUGGUCUGUAGUUAGGGCAGAUAGCGAUUUACGAAGUGGGUCAGUCAGCCACAUCAGAUAGCCCAAAGGCAUGGAAUUGCGAAUUCCAUCAAUCUCUGCACGGUUGUUAUGGCCCUUUUCCUCUUAGUGGUACAGUAUGGUGCGGGUCACAUUUAUCAGGCUUGCGUUUCCACUGCUAAAAGGGUACCAACGGUAUAGAACUUUUUCUUAGAACGCCAAAUUACCCAUUGUGCUUUGCGUGUACGGUCAAGAAUGCUAUGAAAUUCAGAUCUGCAGCUGAUGCGUAAUAAACAGUCAGAUUUGGACAGCUUUUUAAUCUAUUUUAUUCGCUUUUAACAUCUUUGAACUAGUACUGCUGUCAAUCAGCGCCACCUCCUGGACUGAUCAUUUAAAAAAAUGUGAUUUAAUAGGAUGGAAACAACUGCUGUGAGGUAUUUCCCCUCGAUGUCAGAUGGCAUUUUGUGCUGUUUAAAUGAAGCUUCGUCAUCGCUAAAGUCAACAGUUUCUCUUUCUUUCAAAUAUAUAACCAACCCAAACAAAUGUAAUUCACCAAAAGUUUUGUCACACACACUACAAUACUGUCCCACUAACAUUAACAUAAACUGCUCCCGAUUAGAAUCAACAUGCAAAUCAGCCAGCAGAGUAUCAGUAACAGACUUUUAUUGGUCAUUUUUGUAAAUUGCAUGACUUACAUACACUCCUGUAAACUUUCAUGCUGAUUUGCUCUAUAAUGCAGUGUGUGUGUGUGUGUGUGUGUGUGUGUGCGUGUGUGUGUGUGUGUAUCUAUUACUGUGUGUGCAGUUGUAAUACUUAAGUGCAAUAGUCAAGUUCUAAGCAUAGAAUAGAGAAACUAAAUAUUUACAUCAGAUAUUACAAAAGUAUACUACUCAGGAGUUCACUUGCAGUACAAAUGAAAAACUACUUUUUAAGUAGUACACUUACAAUUAUACUAGUAUUUAAUACAUAAAGUAUAUCACCUCUAUUGAAUCUGAGAUUGGAUUUUCUUUAAGGGUUGUUUCUAAAUUGUUAAUACUCAGACCAAAAAUAUUAUGAUUAUGAAAGAGAUGCCCUUACAAAAAUAGCCUACAGGAAUCCUGCAGGAUUUUCAUUUUUUCUGCAGGAACCUGCUGGUAUCCUGUAGGAAUUAUGAAAUCCUGCAGGACAAAAUGACAAUAUGUGCAGGCAAUUCCUACAGGUUUUAGAAUCAUGCAGUACUUUUUACAGGAAUCCUGAAGGAUUUAAAUUUUCCCCUGCAGGAUAGCUGCUGUCCUGCAGGAAUUACAAAAUCCUGUAGGACACAUUGAGGAUAUGUGCAGGAAUUUCCUACAGGUUUUACAAUGAAUCCAAGCAAGUGACAAGUCUUGCAGGAUUUUAAAAUUCCUGCAGGACUUGCAGGAGUUAUUUGUUGUAAUUGGAAUGAAAGAAAGAAAUUCUGUCACUUGCUGUUGGUAGCAAUUUAAAAUGAGUUCUAACAGAUAAACAAUACAACAAACAAACAAAAAAUGAAUAAAUACAUCAAUAAAAGUGUACGAAUAGAUUAUAGGCAAUUAUAAAAAUCAACCAUUACUCUAAACCAUUCAAAUUAUGCAUAUAUGCAAACAAACAAGCUCUACACUUUUACGUUUUAUUUCUAUACUUUUUUAUUUCAUUUAUUAAAAUGUCAAUCCAGCUAUUUGAAUUCAACUAACAUCUGUUUGGUUGGAUGCAAAAAAUAAAAAUAAAAAACUGCAAGACCUGUCUGUGAGGUGGACACAUGUUGAAUGUAUGUCUGUGCAUUUUAUGAGUUCAACAGAGUCUAUCGCUCUUUCUUUUAAAAUGUUUGUUGCUGUUUUCCCUGAUUCUCUGUCUUUUUGACCUGAGCAACCUGUUAUUCUGUGUCCAUUGCCUUUUUGUGGCAGCUGGAACUGGUGCCUCUUCGUUUAAGUACACUUUUUAUUCUAUUUUUAUCCUUUAAAAAAGCAGGUUAGGGUUAUUGGUAGUUGGAUUGGUAAACAUAAUGUGUUUUCUGCAGUGUUAGAGUAAAUUUAAUAAGUAAAUUAUUAUAAAAAAUUUUAAAUAAAAUAAGAUAUAAAUGCAAAAUUGAAAUGAGAUAAUACAUUGCUGCCAACAAUGUAGGUCUAUAUUAUAAACGUAUAAUAAUUACAAUAUUUAAGUUAAUAAUGACUACUACUAAUAUGUGUGUGUAUUAUUUGGCAAAUGGACUUAGUUAAACAAAUUAAAACAAACAUUCUUUAUAAACAUACUUUUUUCUUUAAGAAAAUAAAUUCUUUGUGGAAUACAUGUGUUUUACUAAAUCUGCUUUACAGGUUCAUACCAUAGACUAAAAUAUAGGUUCAUACAGAUAAUCUUUCACACUUAAAAAGACGCUCGUUUUCGCCACCUACUGGCGUAACAAUGUAGUUUACAUUAUAAACUCCGGUAAAAUGAAUCACUCAGAGAAAAGAUUCGAUUCAUUGAGAUGACUCGCUUUCACGUCACCGAUUCGAAUGCACGUCAGUCAACUGUCACCAACCGUCUUCUGAAGGUAAAGUACUUUUCUUAAGUUAUUUUAUCGUUAAAGUGCUAUAAUUACUGAUCUAUUUUAACGUUAAAUCAGUAAAUUGCUUUGUAACACCAAAACAAAUGCAUUUUUCCUUUUAAAGCUGAGAUCACGUUAACAAUACUAGUAUAUUGCUAACGUAAUAUACCCAGGCCUACUACCGUCGACGCCUUUAUCAAAACUUAAUUUAAAAAAUGGCUAUAUUAGUUAUAUUUUUAUCAUUUACUGCUUAUAAUUGAUGCUAAUGUCGUUUUUUUUGUUACCUCAGAAAUCAUUUUGAUCGCCGGUCGGACAGCAAACUACCUGUUGGUAGGUUGACAUAAGAAAAUGGGCAAAACAUGGGUCCUAGUGGAAUGAAGGGAGGAGCCACCGACCUGACAUUGUUCCUAAAAAGAACCUACUGAAAAAUAACUUUGAACCUGGAGAUGUUGUGGAUGUUGCUGAUGAGGCUGAAAGUUCACCAGCCACAGUUUUAGACCGUUUCUAAGACAACAAAGAAACUCUCAGGAGGAGGAUGUUCAGGAGAGGGGAAUUUACAGACACAGCACAGAAGAAAUUUCCAGGUGUACCAAUGAAAGUUAUCAGGGCAGCACUCGGAAAAAUUAAAUGAUGAGCACAAGUUACAAGUAAGACUUGUUGUUCAACUCAACAGUUCAGAGGACAAAUAGAAAGAUCUACAGUCUUUAUUUGAGAUGAUCAAGUGUGUCUCUGGAACAGGGUGUCCGCGAGGUCUUAAAAAGUUGAUAAAUCAAUUAUGAGAAAAUUGAGGCCCUUAAAAGCGUGCUCGAUCCACACGAUUGUUUCGGACUGGGGUGCGUCUGGCCAAGCUUCUCCAUCCGGAUGAUGUCACGUAAUUUGUGACAAAUGCGGGAAGAGUCUUCUACUGCUGGUGAUAUCUUUCUCAAACAUGUCACAUCUAUUAUGAAGGACAAACACACUUCUGGAGAUCAGGAUUUGUCUCCAGGAUGCAGAUCUCCGUCAAUUUUUGAACAUGCAAUGGACCAUUUGAGUCCUACAAUUGGUGAUCCGACGACGUGAUUGACUGGAGAUUGUCAAAUAGAUGGACGUUUGUUUCUGAUGCCAAAACCAGAGAGGCCUCUCUAUACAAAGGUAAGCAGAAACCUUUUACUUAAAUUCUGCUAUUGAAUAUUCUAAAUGAACGGUUUUUGGCAUCAGUAAAUACAGUGUUCAUGUAUUUGAUGACAUUUUGACAUGCAAGAAUUUAUAAAAUACCUAAAUUAAACUAAUUUGAAAUUGUGAAUGAAUAUAGAUGAAUGAGUUGUGAGAGAAAGAAUAAAGAGAAUUAGAGUAGAUCAAUAGGAUCUAGGGGAAGUCCUUUUCUCUAAGGAGGCACUUAGGGUAGACUUUUAGAGUCUAAAGAGAAGUCCUUUUCCCUAAAAAGGCAAAACUAGUUGAAGAAAUUUUGUCUUGACGAAGACAAUUGACUCUUCAACAAUCAGGAUGGAUAGUGUAUGUAAAAGGCCUACAUCUAUCUAACGGAGAAGUCCUUUUUCCUGAGAAGGCAAAAAACUUGAAGAUCCCUCUGGUCUUGACGAGGACUUGAUAUCUUCAAGACAUUUCUCAAGGAUAGCAGGUUUAGUGAAUUGAGAAAUAGGGAGAGUGUAGGGAUUAAAUAACAUUAAAAUAAAAUGGAAGGAGAAUGUGAGGAAUAUGAUUGUCUUCCUUUAAGUCAACAAUGGGAUAAAAUGGUAGAUAUUUUAUUGGCACAAACUGAUCAAAAAGAUAGGAAAAACGGCUAAAAACUGGGAAAAUAUACGCGCGAAAUGAUUGAACAUUAUAGUACUGAUUGUAUGUACAAAAAGGGAUCUCUGUUUCAGAAAGUGUGAAUAAAAGAGAAGAGCACAAGAAGCUGUUUUCAGACACAGAAAAGAGGAAGUAAGGCUGUUACACAAGCGAGCCCAUGCAAAGAAAGAAAAACAGUUAGAUAAAGAUUUGAGAAGAUGUUCUAGAGUUACACUCGCAGCAUCUGUACUAAAAUCAAAGAAAAGGGAAGUGAACAGCAAAGAAGCUGAAGCUAAACUGAGUAAAAAACAGGAAGCUGAGGCUGAGACUAAGACUGAUCAGAUAGCGACGCCCUAUGCCCCACCAUACAGAGGCUAUACCAAGAUCACUCCAAAACCCAACUAUAAGCCAGCAACCGAAGCAGUUAGUGGUCAAUAGAGAACAUGAAAUUUAAACAUUGGGAUGGUAAAAAUGGAGCAGCAUACAUAAAUAGAUACUUUCAAAGACUGAGAAGAAGCAUGCGAUGAAAACCAAAUGUCUAACGCUGUUACUAAUAGAAUUUUCAGGGCAGCAGUGUUACAAGGAGCUCCUGCUGGUGUGACCCAGGCCAUGGAACAUUCUCCUGAGGUACCAGGCAGUGAUGAUACUAAAUGCAAAGGUAUGCAGUAGAUUUCAGAGACAAAGCAGUAGAGAGAGCGGACAAAGAAGGAAGUGAGUUGUUAAAGCUGAAAAAAAAAAAAGAAUUUUGAAACUGUAGCUUGAGAAAAGGAAGUUAGCUAAAAACAGACGCUUAAGCAACAGAUUAGCAGUUGCUAGAGAGGGCCUGAAUGACUCCCCACUUCCUGAAACAGACAACCUAAUAACACUGUUUAUAGAUGGUAGCUGCCACAGGGCAGAUUAUGGAACUAUGAAAGCAGGCUUUGCUGUGGUUAAAUUACAGAAUGAUCAAUUGGUCACUAUACAAUCUGAACCCCUAAUUGGCAAACAAUCUGCACAAAAAAGCAGAACUAUUGGCCCUAAUCAAUGCAUUGAGACACUCAAAAGGACAGUCUGUCAACUACUCUGAUUCUGCAUAUGCAGUGUCCACAGCCCACGUGGAGCUGCCUGUGUGGAUCAGAUGUGGAUUCACAACUUCUUAUGGCCGGCCUAUUACUCAUGAGAAAGAAGCAAGAGAGCUCUCUGAAGCCAUAAUGUUGUCAAACAAAGUGGCUAUUAUUAAGUGCACUGGUCAUUCUCAAGGAACUGACUUAAUAUCAAAAGGGAAUGAAGCAGCAGACUUGGCGGCAAAACGUGCCUCAGACUACCUACAGGGUCAGUUUGUGGUCACAUCUGAGCCAGACGUGACAUCCCUCCUACCAGAAUUCUCAAGAGAAUUCUUAUCUGAGCAGCAAGACAUGGCUGCUCCUGAAGAAAAGUCUGUGUGGAAAAACAAAGGGGCAAUCAGACACGAGGAUGGCCUUUGGACAGCACCGGAUGGUAGAGCUUUGCUCCCAGUGUCACUAGUCCCAAGCAUGUUAAAAGAAGCCCACACACAUGCACACUGUGGUGAUAAGCAAAUGUCAUGAGCAUUGCAAUCAUGGUGCCAUCCUUUUAUGCCACACCUAAUUUCUGGGUACAUAACGACAUGUGACAUCUGUCAGAUGCACAAUGUCAAACCAACUAUGAAACCAUCUCAGGGAUCGUUCCCAUUGGCAAAUGGCCCUGAGGAUGAAGUUAUAAUUGAUGUCACUGACAUGACUGAAAAGGUAAAUGGUAAACGAUACUUGCUUGUUAAGAUUGAUGCAUAUACUGGAUGGCCAGAGGCCUUCCCGGUGGGCAAGGAAGACAGCACUGCUGUCAUUAAAUGUCUGAUAAACAAUUACAUCCAACGUCAUGGUUUUCCGAGCUGGGUCAGAUCUGACAACGGCUCACACUUUAAAAAUGAACAUUUGGCUGAUGUAGAAAAGGCAUUGGGUUUAGUACACCAUUUCGGGGCAGUCUAUCACCCACAGUCAAGGUUGAGCGGUUGAAUCGGUUGAAUCUAACAUUGAAAAACAAAUUGGCUAAAAUCUGUGCACAGACUAAAUUGACAUGGUUAGCUGCUCUUCCACUGGCUUUGAUGUCAGUAAGGAGCUCUGUGAGUAGGGCAACAGGAUACACGCCUUUUGAACUGUUGACUGGUCGCCAAUUUCCUGGCCCACUGACCACACUACAAUUGGAACCAGUACAACCGUUAUCACACAAAAUUUACUAUGACAAAUUGACUGCUCUAAUUGAAUCUUUUGACAAAAUGUUCCCAACUGAUUUUAGGGGACACGAAUAUCCAGCACCCCUACCUGACCAAACUUGGGACUGAGUGAUAUUGAGAAUCUACAGGUGUAAAUGGAAAGAGCCUCGCUGGUCUGCUCCAAUUAAGUAAUGUCCAGCGGACCCACAGUCCAGAUAAUUAAAUGACACCAGAGUGGACCUUGCUUCGCAGGUCCAAGAGAGGGAGUAUACCACAGGAGAUACAGGAGGGACUGAGGGUACCAGAAAAGGAGGUGACACACAAACACAUACACACAGAAAAAUUUUCAUCCAUCACAAAGUAACCUACAAACUUUGCAGGUGGACCACAAAACUAGGGACUUAUUCACAGCCCCUAAAGGAGAAGCUAUAGCCCAUUGUGUCAGUGCAGACUGUGUAUUUGGAGCGGGGAUAGCGAAAAAUUCAGAGAAAGAUAUGGGGUUGACAAGGUAAAGCCCCAGAGGAAAACGAAAGGUGACUGUGCUGUAACUCACGAGGCAGACAGAAUAGUUUGCAACCUGAUCACAAAAACACUUGCUAGAGACCUACCCACAUAUGAGGACUUUGAGAGCAGUCUAAUCUGCAUGAGAACGUGGUGUGACAAAUUACACAUCACCAGAUUAUCCAUAGGGGUGUGGUUUGGACAAGUUGGAAUUCUAUAGAGUUCUCCACAUUAUUGAAAAGACGUUUAAAGGCCAGAAUAUAACUAUUUCAGUUUAUACGUUAGAAUAAGUUUACUAUGCUUGCUAUUUUUAUUGUAGCUUUGAUAUUGAUUAUAUAUUAUUUGCUGUUAACACAAUAACACUGUGAAAAAUAAGAUAAAGGGAGGAUCAGAAUUGAAUAAUAAGGAAAACCAGCAUCAAUAAAACAUGAGGGUCAAGCUGUGGGAAAACUGGAAACUACUGGGGAUAGUGGGGAUAUUAACACUGAUAAUAGUGGGGACAAUUCUAGGAGUGGGAAAAAGUCAGAACAGGAAUGAAACCUCAACUGUAAAACCAACCAGAGUAAAAAGAUCACUAGGGGAAGAAAACAGGUGUUCCAAGUAUUAUGGAGGGCUGUCCAUUGAAUAUGUAAAGGGAGAGACAACAUCUUACAUAUUUGAUCUAUGUCAGGUAAUUGACUGUGGGGGACACAAUAGUUCAUGCCGAGGAUAUGACGUAUAUGUUUGUUUUGAUCAGACUAUGAAUGCAUGGUGUAACACGAUGGGUAAAGCGGAUAAUAAGUGGUGUAGAGGGUGGGAUCAAGUAGUGGGGUACACAGGGAAAUGGACGCCAAACCCAACAUGGUUAGGGAAUUUUAAAAACGAGUGGAGAAAACUGAAAAUACAAAGGGAUUACAGUCCUACCCAGAACCCUAUUACUAUGUCCAUAAGGGAGUGGACAGGAUACCCCUUAGAUGAGACCCAUUAUGCUGGGAAAAACAAUCCGCCUAAGUUUCUCCAUAUACUAUUAGGAGUUGAGAUAUCAGGAACUGACCCCCUGGGAAUCAUAGAAGUUGAGUUUUUAGAUAAGGUCAAUGUAAUAGAUAGAAACAAGACAACAACUAUAGGACCCCAAUCAGAGAUCAUAGUUGAGAAAUUAGAGGUCGAAGGGUUGUGAUAGAAAUGGAUUAUACCAAAUUAACCCCAGAAGAUAUACUAGAGAAAGCAUAUUAACCCUUUGUGGUGCAAACAGAUUAUCAACAAUGCAGGGGAUAUAAUAGGACCUUGGGCGCGGGGAGGACUAUAUUAUUAUUGUGGAGGGAAAAGAUUGUUUGUAAGAAUAAAAGGGAAAACUACAGAAGGUAUAUGUGCAAUGGUCAGGUUAGCUGCACUAGUCACAAUGAUUGGACAUAAACACCAAAUUACAGCCACGAGACGAAGGAGAAGCUUUGAUCUAACUACUAAUUGUCGAACCUAUAUAGACUAAAUAGGAGUCCGAGAGGAGUCCUUGAUGAAUACAAACUAGUAGACCAAAUUGCCGCCGGGUUCGAGAAUAUCCCAAUAAUUUCAGCCCUAUUCCCUGUCACCCCAAGUAAAAAUGUGGAUAGAAUAAAUUAUGUGCACUAUAAUUUGAUGAGAUUGGCAAAUUUAACAAGAGACGCCGUAGAAGGAUUAUCGGAACAAUUGGCCCCGACCUCAUUAAUGGCAAUACAAAAUAGAAUAGCACUAGACAUGCUAUUGGUGGAAAAGGGGUGCCAUGUUCCAAGAUUUUGCUGCACUUUUAUUACCAAUAAUACCGCACAGACGCAUCAGUAAUGAGGGCUUUAGAAGGGUUAAAAACCCUUUCUAAAACAAUGGCAGAACACUCUGGUGUAAAUACCCCAUUUGAUGAUUGGCUGACCAGUGUGUUUGGAAAAUAUAAAAUCAUGUUUACAUCAAUUUUGAUCUCUAUAGCUACCUUUGUGGCCAUAAUAGUGACCUGUGGAUGCUGUAGCAUGCCGUGUAUCAGAACAUUGUGUAACAGGGUGAUAAUAGCAGCAAUUAAAAAGAAAGAUGGAGCUCCACCCCCUUACACAAUGCCUCUGCUGAUAUCUCCUGGAAAUAAUGAUGAGGAGGAAGAGGAGGAGGAAUAUGACUUAUAAAUGUUGUUUUUUCCCAAUAACUGUGCUUCUUUGCAGAUGCUGAUACAUCACAAGCUAUGUGUUUUUUAGAUAUUGAUGUUUGAGAAAUUUGCUGUUUGAAAAUGUGUUAAGAUUUAAAUUUUGAUUAUUGAAAUGUUUGUAGUUUAGAUAAUUUCAGUGUGAUUGACUCAGCUGACAUGUUGUGGUUGCCCAAACAUAAAAUAGGGAACCGACUGGGUGCCUUUCCCCACAGGGGUUUUCGGCCCAGUCCAGCCUGAGCACACUGGUUUGUAGGGAAUGUUAUUUUCUAUUAUUAUUACGUCUUAAGUACUUGUCUUUCUAGUAGUCUGAUAUGAUGUGUCAGGUGAACAUGUGGUGGCUGCCCAUAAGCUAACUAGGGGGCCGCUUGGGUGUCUUUCCUCACAGAGGUUUUCGACCCAAGCUCAUCUGGACAUAUUGGACCAAGUAUUCUGAGAUUUUUUAAGUGUUAUUAAAGUGGUGUGGCCUCUUUUCAGAGGCCAAGAGAGGGAUUGAAGGAUAGCAUUUUUUUUAUUGUUAGAUUUUGCUAAACAUUUACUAAUAAAUGCAGCCACGAAGGCUUUUGCUUUAAAGGGUUAACUGCUAUAUUAUGUGUACAAGUUUAGGGAAGUAUUGCAGGUUGCAGAGAACAGCCCAUCCUGUUAUCGAGUGUGGGUGCAUAGAAAAUGAUGAAAGGUCUGAGAAUGACAGGACAUAUGAGCUCUGUGUACGUGCUCUGAAACAUCUGCCUUAAAAGGUGAACUGUUAAGAGAAGAUACACAGAUACUAGGAAGAAGAAUAUCUAGUUUCUGAAUGGUUAACCUGUUAAGACAAUUCCAUAUAAGUCUAUAGUAGUUAGGGUUAGGGAGUGUGUGAGAGACAGUAUAAAAGCCUGAAUACAGGAAGCUCAUUUGCCAUUAUAUCCCUUCUGCGCAGAAGAUGUAUUCUCUAACUUCUUGCAUUCAAAAUAAAACUUCUUAAUUUUCAA